AACCGUACCCCAAACCGACACAGGUGGUCAGGUAGAGAAUACUAAGGCGCUUGAGAGAACUCGGGUGAAGGAACUCGGCAAAAUUGUACCGUAACUUCGGGAGAAGGUACGCCGCUGGCGGUGAUGAGACUUGCUCUCUAAGCGGCUGGCGGUCGAAGUGACCAGAUGGCUGGGACUGUUUAUUAAAAACACAGCACUGUGCUAAAUCGAAAGAUGACGUAUACGGUGUGACACCUGCCCGGUGCCGGAAGGUUAAUUGAUGGGGUUAGCGUAAGCGAAGCUCUUGAUCGAAGCCCCGGUAAACGGCGGCCGUAACUAUGACGGUC
rnacentral:rRNA from 1 species